rnacentral:ncRNA from 8 species
AGGCGGAGACUUGGGCAAUUGCU